CCCUUGUGGAGCAGACUGUGAAGCUCUGCUGUGUUCCCUUCAGGUUGGUGGAAGGCGCUCAAGCUGCAGGCGCCAUUGAAGACCCUGCCGGAGGGAAUACAGAGAAAGUAUAGGAAAGCAAUCCAGGCCACCUUUAGAAACACAGAGGGGGGACCUCCUGACCACCACAUGGCAGAGGCCAAGGCUGUGUGUGACCACGUGGCCAUCAUGGUGUCGGGACACCUGAGAUGUGUUGGCUUCAUCCAACAACUGAAAAGCAAAUUUGGAAAAGAUGAUCUGCUGGAGAUAAAGGUGAAGACCCCAGCACACGCGGAGGCCUUCCACGCAGAGAUCCUGAGGCUCUUCCCCCCAGGCUGCUCGGCAGGAAAGGGAAGGCUUGUUCCACUUUUAGAUCUGGUACCAAAUAUCCUCUUUUUCCUAAGAGUUGUUUGCUUUGCUAUCACUGGGGCCCACAUAUAUUUAGCACAAAAGAAAACAAAAAACAAGACAAAAAUACUGUAUU